UACGUAGGUGGCAAGCGUUAUCCGGAAUUAUUGGGCGUAAAGAGCGCGCAGGUGGUUGAUUAAGUCUGAUGUGAAAGCCCACGGCUUAACCGUGGAGGGUCAUUGGAAACUGGUCGACUUGAGUGCAGAAGAGGGAAGUGGAAUUCCAUGUGUAGCGGUGAAAUGCGUAGAGAUUAGGAAGAACACCAGUGGCGAAGGCGAUUCUCUGGACUGUAACUGACGCUGAGGCUCGAAAGCGUGGGGAGCAAACAGGAUUAGAUACCCGGGUA
rnacentral:rRNA from 1 species